UGGCAGCCCUGCCCAUGGCAGGGAGUUUGGAACUACGUGAGCUUUAAGGUCCCCUCCAACCUAAGCCAGUCUAUGAUUCUCUGAUUCUAUCAUAUAUACAUAUGCACUUAUGGAUGGCAUAUUGUGCUAGGUUCUCCACCAGCUGACCUAGUUUCUUCUUUACAGAUAUAUCUCUCUCAUGCUUGUGGUCAAUUAAAAUGUUAUAAAUUAGAUGACUAGUGCUGAAUUGCCUUACAUUCCUCCAAACUGGUAUAGCUUGCAAUUGGUUUCUUAUUAGCAUUUGUUGAAGGAACUGACAGCUCUCUGUAAUUUGUUUUUCCCCAAAAUUUGCCUUCUAUGAGAUCUUCCCUACCCAUUCUCUGGGUUUAUUAACACCUGCCUUCUUGACAUCUAUUGCUGUCAGUCACUGGGAUUAAGUGGCAGAGGUUGACACUGUAGAACUGAUUUCUUGUAAAAUGUCAUAUCUGACAGUAUAUUUUGAGUUGUAUGUUACACUGCCCUCUACCUAAGAGCAAAACUGCCACUCAGCUGAGGAAGGUAGUGACAAUUAUAGCAUGUAUUAGCUCUUAAGAUUUAGGAUGUGUUUCAGAAUUUAGAAUGAAGAACAGGACGAAAAACGUGACUGAACUUAAACCUUCUGUAAGGCAUAAAUAACUGCUCUUAUAAUAGAUCUCAUUCAGUGCAGACAGCAAUCUGUGCCAAUGAAACAUUUAGAGCACAAACUCUUUAUGAUGGUAAAUAAUGCAGGCUAAGGCAUGAAAUGAUCCUUGUCCUAAUUUGUUGGCUAAAAACUUAGAAUUGUUUCAUGAUGCAGUGGGCAGACAGUGAAAAUGUCAUGGGGGAGAUGAAGAAAGUAGUAGACUGUACUUCAAGCAGAAGUUUAAGCCUAGGAUCAGCUCACACUGUAAGCAUGCCUCAUAACGAGAGAUUCUUACUAACAUGAGAUGCAAAAAACAGUAAGGCUUCAGGUCCUAGUAAAAUAACAUUCUUUAAUGUUGUUUGAGACCACUGUCGAUACCUCAGUGGUCCCUCUCAUAGGUCAACUAGCGAUAGUCAAGCCAGGCCUGGUGCUCGCUUCAUAAAGCCUUCCUGUUACAUCAUUGUUUUUAGUGACCGUAUUGCACUAGUUGCUUUACUGUCACUUCAAGCAAGUUUGAGCCCCUAAACAAUGAAAAUGAAUUAGCAGUAACCAGUCCUGGGAAAAUGACUAAAGACAUGAUGCUGCAGGUUUCAGCUUGGAUACUUCAAGGACUGUACAUCUUUCUAGGAAAGCAGAAAUUUUACUUAAAUCUCUCUUCAUGCAUCAUGAAAUGAAAGGUGCCAAUUUUGUUCUCCAUUUCUGAUUAUGGAACCAAGCGAAGCAGUGCCCUGAAUCUCCUUCUGGCUGUCUUCCAAUGCCCAGCAACCGGAGGAAGAUCGCUCCCCGUCAAACAUGAACCAGGGAAUGUUAUUUGCCGC